rfam:Dipodomys ordii contig_2384, whole genome shotgun sequence.
GGUGGCUCAGUGGUAGAGUACUUGCCUUGCAUGCACGAGGCCCUGGGUUCAAUUCCUCAGCACCA